rnacentral:rRNA from 1 species
ACGGGUAUUGCCUUAGUAGCGGCGAGUGAAGCGGCAAAAGCUCAAAUUUGAAAUCUGGCACCUUCGGUGUCCGAGUUGUAAUUUGAAGAUUGUAACCUUGGGGUUGGCUCUUGUCUAUGUUUCUUGGAACAGGACGUCACAGAGGGUGAGAAUCCCGUGCGAUGAGAUGCCCAAUCCUAUGUAAGGUGCUUUCGAAGAGUCGAGUUGUUUGGGAAUGCAGCUCUAAGUGGGUGGUAAAUUCCAUCUAAAGCUAAAUAUUGGCGAGAGACCGAUAGCGAACAAGUACAGUGAUGGAAAGAUGAAAAGAACUUUGAAAAGAGAGUGAAAAAGUACGUGAAAUUGUUGAAAGGGAAGGGUUUGAGAUCAGACUCGAUAUUUUGUGAGCCUUGCCUUCGUGGCGGGGUGACCCGCAGCUUAUCGGGCCAGCAUCGGUUUGGGCGGUAGGAUAAUGGCGUAGGAAUGUGACUUUGCUUCGGUGAAGUGUUAUAGCCUGCGUUGAUGCUGCCUGCCUAGACCGAGGACUGCGAUUUUAUCAAGGAUGCUGGCAUAAUGAUCCCAAACCGCCCGUCUUAAAAMMAMGGACMCA